CGCGGUUGUGAAGCUUCUUUCGGCAGGAACGAAACGGCGGGGGCUAAUAUCCCCUGUCAAUGACGGUACCUGAAGAAGAAGCACCGGCUAACUACGUGCCAGCAGCCGCGGUAAUACGUAGGGUGCGAGCGUUAAUCGGAAUUACUGGGCGUAAAGCGUGCGCAGGCGGUUCUAUAAGACAGAUGUGAAAUCCCCGGGCUUAACCUGGGAACUGCGUUUGUGACUGUAGGACUGGAGUGUGGCAGAGGGGGGUGGAAUUCCACGUGUAGCAGUGAAAUGCGUAGAGAUGUGGAGGAACACCGAUGGCGAAGGCAGCCCCCUGGGUUAACACUGACGCUCAUGCACGAAAGCGUGGGUAGCAAACAGGAUUAGAUACCCUGGUAGUCCACGCCCUAAACGAUGCGAACUAGGUGUUGGAGAAGGAGACUUCUUUAGUACCGUAGCUAACGCGUGAAGUUCGCCGCCUGGGGAGUACGGUCGCAAGAUUAAAACUCAAAGG
rnacentral:rRNA from 1 species